rnacentral:lncRNA from 1 species
GUUAAGCACUACAUAAAUGGAAAUUUUGUCAGUUAUUACUGAUAAUAAAAAAAUCUAUAUAACUUUAUUGAUAAUUCCUGCCCAGUUUGGUCUCUCAUUUUCUCAAUUCCAGUAGUGUUGUUAACCUGUACUACAUAACUUAAAUCUUCAUUAUGAUGGUCUUUAGGUAAUACAGUGUAAUGUUUGUGAUUAUUUUAUAGUUUCAGCUUAAAACCCAGCAGGAGGAGAUGACUAGCCUGACCUUGUGACUUUCAGAAAUCUGAAAUACUAUGCAACUGUACAAAGCAAAGAGUAACAAUAAACCUUAUUUCAAAAUUCUACUAAUAAUGAAUACAAUUAUUUUGAGUCAUGUUUGCUACCUAUAUAUCAUAAAUGUUAAUAUUUAUUUUAUAAUGUAAAUAAAGCAACUAUAGUUUCAUUACAAUAAUUUUAAUUAAUUUUACACAGUUCAUUAUGUAAAUUUUUGAUGAUUAACAAUAUAGGACAAAUAAUUAUUUUUUAACAUUUUGUUUUGUCACCUCCCAUGUGUAGUAGAAACAAGCAUUUCACACACAGGAACCAAAUAUACCAGGAGCACGGUACUACUUUAAGAUGUUGGGUGGUGACUUCCCUGGCCAGAGAGGAUACCAAUAUGCACAAGCCGAUGAGAGUUGGAGUUUCACCAAGUUCCUGAGGCUGGUCUUGAACUCCUGAGGCCAAGCAGUCUGCCCGCCUCAGCCUCCCAAAGUGCUAGGAUUACAGAUGUGAACCACCACACCUGGCCUUUUAUUUUUUUAAACAAAUCAGUUUUGGAAGUAGAAUUUGCCACCUGUAUGCCAUCUGAUGAUUCUGCACAUGCACAGAUUAAUUUAUGGUUGAAAUCAUUCUACAUAUCUGAAAGGUUUGUGGGUCGGUAUAUGUUGGGAAAGAAUUAAAAAGCUAUUUCUGGUUCUGUCAUUACAAUAAUCCCUAAAAAACAUCAUUCUUUAAAUUCAUAUCUUUAAAAUUUUAGGUUACUUUAAAAAUGGUAAUAUCAAAUGAGUAUUCAUUUGUUAAGUAAAGGUUUACACAUUUAAAAGUCAAAUUCAAUAAUUAGAUAAUCAAAAGGAUGACCAAAAUAAAUAUUAGUGAUUAAAUAGAUCUACAGAAAAAAAAAAGCUAUGAAAGUUAGCUCACGUAUGUUAGUUUACUUUUAGUUUAUGGCUCAAUUGUACCACUUCCCUUCAGAUUAAAAUUAAAUGAAAAUGUCAAAUACAAAGUUUUUAAUAAGCUCCUCUGGUGACUUAAGGAUUAUUGAAUAUCAAAAUAUCUUAAUUGUUGAAUUUUUCACUUUAAGGUAAAUACAAAGAUUCCCUUAUAAGUCAUUCAAAAUUUUCCAAUCGAUACUAAUAGUAUAAGCAUUUUUAUAAAAUCAUGUUUUAUCUGGUAUAUACAUUCACUCACCAUAAACCUAUUAAAUAAAGAAGGUGCAAUUUCUCUCAUUUACUGAUUCCAUUUUUUCCAUUUCUUCCUUAGCAUUUAUUUUAAGUUCACAUAUACAUUACAUAUUUAUUGUGUAUACUUUAAAUUUUGUCUUCCACGAAUGCUCCAAGACAGCAAUGAAUCUUGUCUGUUUUGUUACCGCGUCACCAAGGCCAGUGUGUGCAGUAGGCACUCAAUAUUUAUUUUUAGAAUGAAAGAUGAAGGAAGAAAGAAGGGAGGAAGUGAGCCAAGGAGGCUCAAUCUUGACCAGUGCGAUUUCAUGUUGUGAACCAGUAGCGCAGUGCUAUGAACUGGUAGAGUUUAAUUGGAUGGUCUGGAAAUCUUUCUGAAUUAAUGAUAUUUUUAGUGAUCCCCCUUUGAAGUUCAUCAACUCGUCAUUAUCAGAUAGUCAAUGAUGACCUUCCUUAAUUUUUAGAGAGGAGAGUAACGUACCACAUAACAACAAUUCUCACAUAAGGCAUUGCAAGUUACAGUCAUGUAGUAAGAAAUUUUCUAUUAAUAAUAAUUAAAAUAGUUAAGUGUGUGAAUGAUUUACUUUUUAAAAAAUAAAGUAAAGCAAAUAAAAGAAUAUCCCUCCAACACACACCAUUCUCAUUCACACACUGUUAUAUUUUCAAGACAGAUGGAAGUUCAGAGGAACUGUAUACAUAAUGCUGGAUUCAUCCAUCUGAGUCCAUUAAACAAGUCAACUUCCUUCAUAUACGUUCUUGUGGAAAUAGAAAAGUGAGAAUUACUGAUGUGUCUUCCUAUGUACUAAUCUGCCCUGUAAUAGAGCUAUUUCAGAGAGAAAUUGUACGAGUUCCAUAAGUCUCCUGGAUUGCCUAAGUUAUAAUAGAAAUGAAAAAUGUGGGGAAAAAUGGCCAAGUGUAAAUGAAUUGGCCAGGGUUCAUAGAAGAUUUCCAUAACUUGAUUCAGGUCUGAAAUAAAAAGAACAAUAUUUUCCUCUGAAAAGUGUAUCGAAAACCUGCCUGAGAUUUUAAUAUAAAAUCAUGUCUAGGGCAGAGAAGAAGCUGCCCAAUAUAUUGACAUAAAGACUAUAUCUGGUACGAUGAAUGGAAAUUGAAUAGCAUCAGACCAAAUUCGCUGUGCUUAUGCCUUUUCUGAUUUGUACUUUGUAUCCAAGAAAAUAUUACUUUAUCUUAUAUGAGAUGUUUUGCACAUUUGAGGGUAAUGUGCACAAAUGUUUUGCACAUUUGAGGGUAAUGGGUGUGUGAUAGUGUAUGUGUGUUAAGAGAGAUACAGAAAGCAUAGAAUGUAAUUAGCUAAAACAAAGUACAUUUCCAGUUUGCAUGAGAAUAAAAUAUUUGUGAAAGAUUUUGAUAAAAUCAAACGUUGGAUAUAAUAAGGAAAAUUGUUUUUUAACUUUCUGGAGUAGAAUAUUUCUAAAGUGUAUUCUAAAAUGACAAGUUUUCCAGGAAAUGCUGAUGUGUAAAUGUUAGGUGUUUGUAAAUGUUAGGUAUUCAUUUUCCAGGAAAUGCUAAGAUUUGUAAAUGUUAGGUAUUCCAAAA